rnacentral:rRNA from 1 species
GUGCCAGCCGCCGCGGUAAUACGGAGGGUGCAAGCGUUAUCCGGAUUUAUUGGGUUUAAAGGGUGCGUAGGCGGUAGGAUAAGUCAGUGGUGAAAAUCUGCAGCUCAACUGUAGGGGUGCCAUUGAAACUGUUUUACUUGAGUAACCAUGAGGUAGGCGGAAUGUGUAGUGUAGCGGUGAAAUGCUUAGAUAUUACACAGAACACCGAUUGCGUAGGCAGCUUACCAGCGGUUCACUGACGCUGAUGCACGAAAGCGUGGGGAUCAAACAGGAUUAGAUACCCUGGUAGUCCACGCCGUAAACGAUGAUAACUCGCUGUUGGCGAUACACAGUCAGCGGCUUAGCGAAAGCGUUAAGUUAUCCACCUGGGGAGUACGCUCGCAAGAGUGAAACUCAAAGGAAUUGACGGGAGCCCGCACAAGCGGAGGAACAUGUGGUUUAAUUCGAUGAUACGCGAGGAACCUUACCUGGGCUUAAAUGUGGAGUGACUGCUGGUGAAAGCCGGUUUUCCGCAAGGACGCUCUACAAGGUGCUGCAUGGUUGUCGUCAGCUCGUGCCGUGAGGUGUCGGGUUAAGUCCCAUAACGAGCGCAACCCUUAUGAUUAGUUGCUAACAGGUCAGGCUGAGGACUCUAGUCAGACUGCCACCGUAAGGUGUGAGGAAGGUGGGGAUGACGUCAAAUCAGCACGGCCCUUAUGUCCAGGGCUACACACGUGUUACAAUGGCCGAUACAGAGGGCAGCGACCAAGUGAUUGGGAGCUAAUCCGGAAAAGUCGGUCUCAGUUCGGAUCGGAGUCUGCAACCCGACUCCGUGAAGCUGGAUUCGCUAGUAAUCGCGCAUCAGCCAUGGCGCGGUGAAUACGUUCCCGGGCCUUGUACACACCGCCCGUCAAACCAUGGGAGCCGAGGGUACCUGAAGUCUGUGACCGCGAGGAGCGGCCUAGGGUAAAAUUGGUGACUAGGGUUAAGUCGUAACAAGGUAACC